AAUGAAACUCUCUCUCUCCUCUUUCAUUCAUUCAAACUUCUUGUUAUGUUAGCUACGAUCGAUCAAAAGGAACCUCUUCUUUUUCUCUAUCGUCGUCUCUGCGAACCCUAGCUUUUCACUCUCUCUGUGCUUCGAUCAAAGCUCGCAUUUUUAAACUUUGAGCAUGGCUUCCGGAUCAUCGGGUCGUAACAACUCUGCUGCGAGAGGGUUUGAUUUCGCCAGGACUACGACAAUCAGGAUAAUUAUAAUGGAAGGCACUCCGAUUCCGUGAUCGGAUCCAAUUCGGCUAAGAUCCUUGAGAUUGAAGCUCUUUAAUGAUGGCUACUGCAACCGUCUCUUCUGCUGGUCCACGUUAUGCUCCAGUGGACCCCACUCUUCCCAAGCCUUGGAAAGGGCUAGUUGAUUGUAAAACUGGUUAUCUUUACUUCUAGAAUCCGGAGACCAAUGUCACUCAUUAUGAGAAGCCCGCUGCCUCUUCACACACGGGCUCAGCUCCACCACAAAAGCUGUCUUCAGCACCUGUAAGUUCUUCGGUUCAAGUUGAACAAUCUUCUCAUGGACAUUGUGACAGUAUCUUCAACGAUGAUGAUGAUAGAUAUAAUGGGGGUAGCAAUAGUCGGUCAAAGCUUGAUACAGGAACACGGAGUUAUCAGGUAAAAGAAUUUGCAGACAUGUGUCAAGUAAUGCAGACAAUUCUCACUAUAGGAAAUGCAUUGAACCGAGGCACUGCUUGAGGAUCUGCCAUAGGAUUCAAAUUGGACAGCCUACUUAAGCUGUCUGAUACUUGUGCAAGGAACAAUAAAAUGACAUUGAUGCAUUAGCGACCUCAGGAGCUUGAUUUAUGCCCAGGAGUAGGCAUACAAUUUUUUCUGUAAAAGAGAACAAUUUAGAAAUAUGCUUGAAAGGAAAAAUGAUGACUCUUCUUUUUGUAAAGGAAUUUUUGGUUACUACUUGCUAGAUAUUUGUCUGAUAACACAUUACACUGAAGUUUUCUUUAUGAAACAAAAUCUGGUUAUCUGA